AAACGCUAUCUGUCUUAGUCCGAUGCAAAGGAAAACGUCGGACCGAUCCGAUUCCACAUAUUCCUAUUUCAUCCCACGGCCCGCAUGCAUCAGUUCUUCUGAAAGGAAAAAAAUCGAGACCACUAAUCUCGCAUGUUGACCAACCUCACCCCCAAAAUUUCGGGCAGUUCCCAAAAUUAUCCAUCGGUGUGAGCUCCUACCAAAAUAGAUCUGAUGCUGCCGCCUCUGCUCUCACCGUGCCACAGCUCCACCCACCACCUCGCCGUGCCGCCACUCAUCUCCCAACGGCGCAGCCAUCUCCCAUCUCGGUGGUUACCUGCGACCUGGUUGAAGCCCUGUGUCGGCGGCGCUCCGUCGCGGCGAGUCGUCGUUGGGGCGUCCCUGGCAGUGGCCGGCCGGCGGUAUAGAGGCUGUGCACAGUACACCCCAUGAAGCAGCAGGCCGGAGGGCCGACGGUCUGCAUACCGCACGGAGCAGCGGGCUGGAGGCUGCUUCCUAAGAUUACCCUUCUUUCCGAAUGGCUGUUAUCCUCCAGCUACAACUCGAGCACGAGAUUGCGUUGGCCAACGUUUCUUGUGUGAAGCAACACUACCAGUGGGGCGAACGUCUUCUUCAUGCUACUGGAAGCAGACCAAUGUGCUACUCUCAGUACCUCAGAACCCUAGGUCAUUGUUACAGGUCAUCGAUGAGCCUCUUGUGUUCUCGUUGAUGCACAUGUUCCAUCGCUAUGAGAGGUGGAUGGCGGGCAUUAUGCCAGACGACACAAACCCUGUGACUGAUUCAUAUUAUAUAUAGAAGCAAAUUUUGAUAUUAUUUGAAGCAAAAGUUAUUUUAGUUGUAAGAAAAUUAUGUCCUCCUCAGGAAGCAAUGACCAUAGAAGCACAUAUUUGUUUCAUUGAAGCAUAUACAGAUCUUUUGGAAUCAGUACAUGCUCUCUUGAAACCAAUGUUGUCACAUUGGAAGCAAACACUAUGUCCGUUGUAAGCAAAUUAUAUUAUUUGUUGGAAGCAAUGUUAAUAUAAAUGAAUAUUUGUUGCA